AUGCUCAAGUUGGAUGCUGAUGUUGUUGUGUUGCUGAGUCAUCAAGGAUCCAGCUUAUUAUUGGCACAUUGGACAGUACAGAAAGCGCACAAGUGGGAGAGAGUGGAGGGGACGUAUCCUCUAACGCUGGGCCCUUGGAAUUGUCCUAACCUGCCCUCCCCUUACGGCGCCCCUGGUUGCAGGUUCCAUUGUCAAACUGUUCAACACAUUUUCACUGCACAAAUGUACCCAUCUCUUGUAAUGAGACACAUUAGUAAAACAUGUUUUCACAGAAACUACAGUUUUCCACCAAAAUAAAAGAUCAACUGGUUUCAGUCAUAAAAGUACAAGGGUUUCUCUUGCAAGUGCAACACAAAAUAUGCAUAUUAUUACAUAAAAACAUUUAAAUAUUAUUGUAUUUGGAUUGUUCUUCUACAGGUUUUUAACAAUACAUCCAUGCACUACAAAAUAAAGUUUGGGAUUAUUUUCAUUUUGUUUAUACAGUAUACUUUCCAAAAUAAAAACUGUCUGUUUUACAAUUUUGAGUAUGUGGUAGUUUAUUAAAUAUGUACUUAAGGUUUUUUUUUUUUUUUACUUAAAACUUUUUUCUUUUAGUCUUUAAAUAUUGUAUUUGGAUUGUUCUUCUACAGGUUUUAACAAUACAUCCAUGCACAGACACUGCAAGCUAAAAGUUUUGGGAUU
rnacentral:lncRNA from 1 species